GUUGAAGUGCGGUAUACGAUUGCUGUAACAUGUGAAGAUAAAUGGCUCUCGAAUACGACCUCUGAAUGAAAACAUGAAGAAGUGUCAGUAUGUCGUAAGUGGUGAGCUCUAGAAAAGGCAAAAAGGUGGUUGCGCUCUGUCAAGCUCCUUAUCUACUAGAAGGAAUGAUUUUUCCAAGAGCUAAGCAUUAUCUUUUCUUGAUUUGCAAACUUAUUAGUUAGCCCGUUAUAUGUAAAGAUUUCGUGUGGAAAUAUCAAAAUUUCAUUUCCUUUCUAUGUGUGUCAUCAGGUGCUUACAGUGACUCAAGAGGCCUUCUGGAAGCUAGGAAAGCCAGCUCAAGCCUUUUGUUUGUCAUUUUCAUAUCUCAGUAAUCCAGAACUCACGAUGGAGCUAGCAAAGGUGUGAAACAAAUCUUAAACUGUGCUAUUCGCGGUGAGGGAGAUGAGAUCUGUUAUUUUAGGCUUCAUUGGUCUGAACCGUGUAUGGCACUACGAAUGUCAUCUGAAGCAAGUAUUUUCCGAGAGCCUCACCAUUUCUCCACGAAGAAUAAAGACAUCCACAGGUUCACUGACCACCAGUUCACCAUUUCCUUCAGUCACAACUCCGUGUUGUCGGGGAUGUCAUCUUCAGUAUUAUUUUUUUCCGAGGAAGUGGAUCCCACCAGAGAUAUAUGUUUGAUUUCGUGCAAUGAUAAUGGUUGUUUAUUGCUAUCUAUUUUGGCAUUCGUAUUGCUAUAUUUCUUCAUUGGAUUCUUCUUUAUUUUUAGGCCAAAAAUGAAUGAUGCUUUUCACAUAAUUCUGUGUUUCCUCUCAAUGUCUCGCUGAGAUUUCGUUUGACAUUCGAAGUGAAAAAUAACCAAAAGCGCAAGAAAUGAGCUGCUAAUUGUUUGAGGGAUAUGGAGUGCCAGGAAGCAAUAUUGAGAAGAGAAGGCGAGUGCAAGUGCGGCCAAGAAGCUUCACCAGAAAUGGCAAUUCAUCACAAUUUAAGUAGAAAAAUAGGAAUUAUGAUCAGAAGAAAUAAGGUGAUGAUGAGAUGAAUGCAUUUCUUAUAUGCCCUGAAGCGAUGGAUGCAACAGAUCUAAGCUUCUUACCAUGUCCUUGCGGAUUUGUCUAUGUCUCUUCUCCUCUAUUCAGAUCAACCAAAACGAUGGACGUAGCCCACGACGCUCAGCUUCCCCAAACAAGUAUGAGAGGACAAGUAGUAACAGUGCUUUAUUUUUUAGUUAUUUUCUUAGUAUCUCAAUUGCACACAGCAUAUUGUUUGUCAACAGAUUUUGUGUUACUGACGUUGCUGCAUCUUUUGAAAGUUUGAAGCUUAAUAAAAGUGAAAGAUAGUUGAUAUGUUA